GCAAACUUGGUCAUUUAGAGGAAGUAAAAGUCGUAACAAGGUUUCCGUAGGUGAACCUGCGGAAGGAUCAUUAGUGAAAACAUUAGGAGCUGUUGCUAUACAUUGUGCACGCUCCGUUUUUCAUCCACUCACACCUGUGCACUUGUUGAGGUUUAAAACAAACCUCUAUUACACACUCGUAUUCAUUAGAACGUGUUGUUUUUAAAUAAUACAACUUUCAACAACGGAUCUCUUGGCUCUCGCAUCGAUGAAGAACGCAGC
rnacentral:misc_RNA from 1 species